GUGCUAUAGCUAUCUUUGGAAAUCUCACAUUGGUACCUUCUUUGUGUUUUGUCAAAUCUGCAGCGAAAGUGUUCUUUAAAUGAAUAUGUGCUGAAUCAUCAUGCAAGACUACUAUAACAUGAAAUAUAUGGCAGAAUGCAGGUAAAAUGGAGC